AUUGAACGCUGGCGGCAUGCUUUACACAUGCAAGUCGAGCGGUAACAGGCCGCCAGGUGCUGACGAGUGGCGAACGGGUGAGUAAUGCAUCGGAACGUGCCCAGCCGUGGGGGAUAACUACUCGAAAGAGUAGCUAAUACCGCAUACGAUCUAUGGAUGAAAGCGGGGGACCGUAAGGCCUCGCGCGAUUGGAGCGGCCGAUGUCAGAUUAGGUAGUUGGUGGGGUAAAGGCUCACCAAGCCAACGAUCUGUAGCUGGUCUGAGAGGACGACCAGCCACACUGGGACUGAGACACGGCCCAGACUCCUACGGGAGGCAGCAGUGGGGAAUUUUGGACAAUGGGCGCAAGCCUGAUCCAGCAAUGCCGCGUGCAGGAAGAAGGCCUUCGGGUUGUAAACUGCUUUUGUACGGAACGAAACGGCUCUGGUUAAUACCCGGGGCUAAUGACGGUACCGUAAGAAUAAGCACCGGCUAACUACGUG
rnacentral:rRNA from 1 species